AGCAGCCGCGGUAAUUCCAGCUCCAAUAGCGUAUAUUAAAGUUGCUGCAGUUAAAAAGCUCGUAGUUGAAUUUCGGGAUCAGUUGGUCGGUCGUGCCUCGGUACGUACUGGUCAAAUUGAUUCCUACCUUCUGACGAACCACGAUGUCAUUAAUUUGGUGUCGCGGGAAAUCAGGACUGUUACUUUGAAAAAAUUAGAGUGUUUAAAGCAGGCUCGCGCUUGAAUACAUUAGCAUGGAAUAAUGAAAUAGGACGUUUGAUUCUAUUUUGUUGGUUUCUAGGAUCGACGUAAUGAUUAAUAGGGAUAGUUGGGGGCAUUAGUAUUCAAUUGUCAGAGGUGAAAUUCUUGGAUUAUUGGAAGACUAACUACUGCGAAAGCAUUUGCCAAGGAUGUUUUCAUUAAUCAAGAACGAAAGUUAGGGGAUCGAAGACGAUCAGAUACCGUCGUAGUCUUAACCAUAAACUAUGCCGACUAGGGAUCGGAUGAUGUUAAUUUUUUAAUGACUCAUUCGGCGCCUUAC
rnacentral:misc_RNA from 1 species